GCUCAGGCUAUUGGGAUAGCUCAGUCGGUAGAGCAUGAGGCUCUUAAUCUCAGGGUCGUGGGUUUGAGCCCCACGCUGGACA